rnacentral:rRNA from 1 species
CCUACGGGGGGCAGCAGUGAGGAAUAUUGGUCAAUGGGCGCGAGCCUGAACCAGCCAAGUAGCGUGAAGGAUGACGGCCCUACGGGUUGUAAACUUCUUUUAUAAAGGAAUAAAGUGAGGCACGUGUGCCUUUUUGUAUGUACUUUAUGAAUAAGGAUCGGCUAACUCCGUGCCAGCAGCCGCGGUAAUACGGAGGAUCCGAGCGUUAUCCGGAUUUAUUGGGUUUAAAGGGAGCGUAGAUGGGUUGUUAAGUCAGUUGUGAAAGUUUGCGGCUCAACCGUAAAAUUGCAAUUGAUACUGGCAGGCUGGAGUACAGUUGAGGUAGGCGGAAUUCGUGGUGUAGCGGUGAAAUGCUUAGAUAUCACGAAGAACUCCGAUUGCGAAGGCAGCUUACUAAACUGCAACUGACAUUGAUGCUCGAAAGUGUGGGGAUCAAACAGGAUUAGAUACCCGAGUAGUC